rnacentral:tRNA from 1 species
GCCCCCAUCGUCUAGAGGCCUAGGACAUCGGCCUUUCAAGCCGGUAACAGGGAUUCGAAUUCCCUUGGGGGCAC